rnacentral:snoRNA from 1 species
GUUGCUUCUUACUGGUAAACUGGUCUCAAAAUGGGGUCACAGAAGCAUAAGUUACUGGAAUAAUAUAUGUUCAUGUUGCAGAAGCAUAUAUUAGUUGAAUAAUAUAUCUCAGCAGCAUCGGCAUAUUCUAUUUUGUUGCAUUUUGCUACCUGUCUCCUGGUACAUUU